UACGAAGGGGGCUAGCGUUGUUCGGAAUUACUGGGCGUAAAGCGCGCGCAGGCGGUUCUUCAAGACAGAGGUGAAAGCCCAGAGCUCAACUCUGGAAUGGCCUUUGAGACUAGAGAACUAGGGUACGGGAGAGGUGAGUGGAAUUCCGAGUGUAGAGGUGAAAUUCGUAGAUAUUCGGAAGAACACCAGUGGCGAAGGCGGCUCACUGGCCCGUUACCGACGCUCAGGCGCGACAGCGUGGGGAGCAAACAGG
rnacentral:rRNA from 1 species